rnacentral:rRNA from 1 species
GUAGGUGGCAAGCGUUGUCCGGAAUUAUUGGGCGUAAAGCGUGCGCAGGCGGUUCUUUAAGUCUGAUGUGAAAGCCCACGGGCUCAACCGUGGAGGGUCAUUGGAAACUGGAGAACUUGAGUACAGAAGAGGAAAGCGGAAUUCCACGUGUAGCGGUGAAAUGCGUAGAGAUGUGGAGGAACACCAGUGGCGAAGGCGGCUUUCUGGUUUGUAACUGACGCUGAGGCGCGAAAGCGUGGGGAGCAAACAGGAUUAGAUACCCUGGUAGUCCACGCCGUAAACGAUGAGUGCUAAGUGUUAGGGGGUUUCCGCCCCUUAGUGCUGCAGCUAACGCAUUAAGCACUCCGCCUGGGGAGUACGGCCGCAAAGGCUG